GAAGCAAGUAUGAAAGACGGUUGCGAGUCCAUAGGACUCGAGGAAAGUCCGAGCUCCAUAGGGCAGGAUGCCAGAUANNNNNNNNNNAAACCGCCACGUCCGUGGUAAGGUUGGAAAGGGGAGGUAAGAGCUCACCAGCAGUCUGGUAACAGGCUGGCUCGGUAAACCCCAUCCGGAGCAAGACCGAAUAGGGAAGGGUUAACGGUGGUCCCGCCUACCUUCCGGGUUGUGUCGCUCGAGCGUGCAGGCGACUGUACGCCUAGAAAGAUAAUCGUCACCGCGCAAGCGGAACAGAACUCGGCUUAAUGAUUGCUUGCUUCUUAU
rnacentral:RNase_P_RNA from 1 species